rnacentral:lncRNA from 1 species
AGAUUCAGCAUUUCAUCCAGCUCGUUGCAUUGUUCUCCUGUCAAAGCGAAUCUGAUUUACCCCACGGGAGAUGAAAGAGGAGCUACCAUCGAGGAAGGGGCAGCUUCCACUGCUGGUUCCAUACGAAGAAGUCCCAGUUUGAAGGUAUAAUCCAAACAAUACUGUCCAGGUAGCAACCCGCCACCUGCAAGUCCUCGCACAGAAAGACAAGGUUUUCAUACAGACCUGCGUCGGCUAAAUGCCGAGCGGACGUCUCAAUGACAUAGGCUGGAUGACGCGCGUUGGAAACCACGACCAAACCUCCUGCUCCAAACUUCUGCGGAUYGGCGUGGUCAGGGCUCACAAGCGCGCAUCGCGUUGGGGUUUCGUUCUCGAGGACGAGCUCAGUGCAGGACUUCCCAGGACAGGGCCGAGGGCAGGAGCAGCGCUGGAAGGGGAGCGGCAAAACCCGGCGCCUUCCCGCUCCCCCCGAUCCCACGCAGCCCCCUCCACGCCCCUCCACCCGUGCUGGAGCUCGAGAAAGGAGCCACCAAACCCAACGCUUCUGCUUGGCCGCAGCGGGUUAGAAGCAUCGCUUCCCGCAACCCUUCCACCCUGUUUUGGCUGCCAAUUUCCAGGGAAAACCUUCACCUUGCAAAUCAGGGGAGUAGCUGAAGCUUUCAGACAGGCCUGCAACAAACUCGGAUCUGAGGAUUUUUCAAUAAUGUUCCCAAAGGAAAGCUGCUUUCAUCAGAUAUUUAAGAUUUGCGGCCCUGCUCGCCCAUUACGAGCACCACGAGCGUGGACGGUGCGGCGGCCGGGCAUCACCUCCGCCAAAAGCAGGCGGACUGCUAAAAUCCCGGUGAGGUGCAGCGCUCGGAAGGGGACGCCUUUGGCUGUUGCAGGCUCUCAGAUGCCUGCAGUUGCCACCACCGCGUAAGCAAACCCGCAAUUGCACUGCAAGUCGCCUACAGUAAAUAUCCAAGGAAUUGUUUUGUCCUUCAGGAAGUUUUCUGACCGACACCGUCGCUGUACAUCGAUGCUGAGAUUUGGAGUCAACCAAAACACGGAUGUGAAACAAGCAUUAAAUCACCUGCAGAAACACUGACACCCAGACCCGAGUCACCCCAACCCCCACGUUUCUUGUUCAUGAAACACAUACCGUGGAAAGUUAAAGCAAGUCGCAUUAAAACAGCUAUAUUCAAGGAAAGAGACACCAUAAUUCGGACCAGUAUUCACCAGAGUAUUUCAAAUAAUAACCCUGACUUUUUAGCCAUUACUUACAGCGUGUGGGUGGCCUAAAAGGAGGCUCCAUUUAUAUCUACGGCUGCCCAAAUGAAGCUGCUUCUGUGGUCAGAGAAUUGACCAGGAUACAAGAAAACAGCAGAGGGAAGAGCAACCUUCACCGUUAGCCAUCUGCUGUAUUGCAGGUUUCCAAAGAAAACGGCCCAUGCGGAAGCCAGACAGCGACGCAGCCCGGCUCAGCGCAUCCCGUCCGCCGCUUCCGCUGCUUCCCCGCCUGGCGCCGCCAGACAAGCGGAAAGCCUUCGGCGUGCUCAGUCUUUGGGGCCACCUUGGCAUCUCACUUGCGGGGUCGCCUGUAAACACCUUGACUGGUUUUAAUCCCGUUUGAGCAGUACUUACGGUUCGAGUCUUUCAGAACGCAGAAAGGGACGGUUACGCGGGGCGAUGCGUUAGCUCGUGGCAGAUUUCAGCAACCCCCCGCGUUCCUCCUUAGCGUGGCGAGCGCGUCGAAGCCCCUACGUGGCCCUGACCGCUGCGGUCACGGCGCCGAACAGAGCUUAAUCAGAUCUUCCGAGACAUUCGGAAAAAAGCUUUUAUUCCCAACACGCCUGCCUGGCUGGGAGUCUAACUCGACCACCCCGGAUGGAAGUGUCACCAACGGAAUCGGAUUGCUUUGCCUUAAAAGAGAACGCGCACGGGUGUGAAACAGAGUCCUUAAGGAGAAAGCAAAGGGCAUCGCGGCACGGCUCAGCCGGGGGGGGCCCAGCAAACACGGCGAACGCGGAGCCGGGGGAGGCGGACGUGCAGCGCCGAGCUCAUCCCUGCCGAAAGUCCGGUCGGCCCCCGACGCCGCUCCCGAGAGCCCGAUUUGGAGGUUUCCAGGCUACGUACCUGUUGCGCUCGGGUGCGUUUCCACGGUCCAACUUAUGGCGAGGGCAGCGCGAGCUUUCGGCGCCCGGCCCCUAGGAAGCCCCCGAGGGCAGGAGCUCACUCUGGCCCCAGCGCCUGCGCGCUGCCCUGCCUCCUCUCCGCAAACCCGGGGCUCCUUGGGGGCUCCGGUCACACGGGUCACAACUCCAGCCCGCCCCGUCCUCAGCGGGACCCGGCUCCGCCACGCGGGGCAGGUCCUGCCGAGGACGGGUUUUCCCCGCACCCCGGCCGUGCCGCGGGGCGCAGAGCUGYGCCGGCGCAUGCCGCAGCCAAGGGAGCAUUUUACACCCAAAUACACACAGUAAUGGGAAACUGGAAUAACAGCGAGCGUUGUGAACUCAGACAGCAAACAUAUUUAAUGUACGAAACGUGUUUUUGACAUACGUUCAUUUAACAAGUCAGUUUUGUUUUUAUUAAACGUGACUUUGGUACAAGCAGGUCAUUCCUGCGAUUAGUUUACAAGUUUUAAACCAAAACCAAAACCAUAUGGCUUCACUGUAUUCCUGUGCAAAGUUAGGGAGGGGCACAGAUAUGACUGCUUUUUUCUUUGCUUUUUUUUCCCCCCUUUUUAACAGGCAUUUGCCUACCGGGAAGCCCAUCUGUUACAAAUACAGACCCCACAGCCAGGAACUCCGAGUCUCCGGCUGCAAACUGCUUCCCCUCCAUUAACAAACGGCAUUUCGUCGUCCUUUCGCCGGGCUCCGCUACCACCGCACGCACGGCCGGCGCAGCGGGAGGAGCGCGGCCCGGCGAGGCAGAGCCGCCCGGCACCCGAGAGCCGGGCAGGGARCUUUGGGAAGGGGGGUUAAGCCAAGGCACGCGCGUUAUCCCUACGAAAACGGAACACGUGAAGGGUUGGGAGAUUUUGGUUACGGAAGCCGUAAGUCUCCAGGGGAAAGCUAAUAGCGAGUUAUUGCUAGUGAACGCCGGGAUGGUUGGUUAAGGCCRUUAAAAGGUUCCCGUUACGAUCCCAAGCCACAGCGAGGAGAGGAGCAAACGAAAAUCCCAUUACGACAACAGUUUCCGCAGCGAGCUGAAAACUGGUCUCGCGCUCAUGCCACGUUGCUCCUCUUCCGCUUGGCAGUUUGGUCACAGUGUUAAACACUUUGCGUGGGUUCUCACCCCGAGAUUAGUGUCUUGGGUUAAGUGCAAGCCAUGCAGCAGCCUGAAUUAGCAAUUUAUCUUUUGGCAAGUAGCUUAGAUUUCAACUUUAUCAAGAAACCUGAUCAAGCCAACUUUUCCCAAUCGAGAGACACAACGCGUCUUAGUCCUUGCUAUAUAAUCUCUUCUGUGCAAUAUAUUGCAAGCAUUAAGGUGAAAGCACCAAUUAAUUUCUUCUGCAUGAGAUGUUUUGGCCUUAAUAAAUCUUCUAAUUAACAUGUCUUCCUGAUGUUA